rnacentral:rRNA from 1 species
UACGGGGGGGGGCAAGCGUUGUUCGGAAUUACUGGGCGUAAAGGGUGCGUAGGCGGUCCGCUAAGUUAGAUGUGAAAACUCUGGGCUCAACCCAGAGCCUGCAUCUAAUACUGACGGGCUAGAGUUCUGGAGGGGGUAGCGGAAUUCCUGGUGUAGCGGUGAAAUGCGUAGAUAUCGGGAGGAACACCUGUGGCGAAAGCGGCUCUCUGGACCACAACUGACGCUGAGGCGCGAAAGCUAGGGGAGCAAACAGG